rnacentral:tRNA from 1 species
GGGCCUGUGGGGUAGCUUGGCAUCCUUCCAGCUUGGGGUGCUGGUAACCCGAGUUCAAAUCUCGGCAGGCCCA